CAUUAGAAAUAGAUAGUCCGGUACUAAAGCACAAUGAGUUAUUUGUAAGUCACUAUAGUGAUCUCAGGGCUGAGAGAUGCUUAUGCCUAUACUCUUGACAGCAGAGCGCUCAACAGGUGAGUUACUUAUUCAAUGAUGAUGUACUCCUAUAUCUCAUCUGUAUGCCAUACCGGUGUCUCCACACUCCUUGGUUAAGAGGACAACCAACCUAUAUGGCACACAAUGAUCUUCACUCGAUAAAUGUCAUUAUCCUUUAAUAACAUA
rnacentral:lncRNA from 1 species